GGGAAACGGGAGGAGGCAGCCCCAGGCGAAACAAGCGUAUGGGGCC
rfam:Heterocephalus glaber contig104517, whole genome shotgun sequence.